UCUUAGAAAGUUGCAAUUUGAUUUUGAAAAUUGCACCCGACAUUAAUACUACUACUUUUCAUAAGUCAAAAGUUAAAAAAAGCUACUUCUAGAGUUUCCUAAACAGGCCCUUAAUCUGAUAGUUAGAAGUUGAAAAACUUAAACCGAGAAUUAUUUUCCUAUGUUUUGGAAAACCAAAACAACAUAUGAAGCGCAGGUACAAGUAAUUACACAAGAAUCAUUUACUACUUAGGGAAUAAAGCACUUCUUUUUGGUCAAAUGUUCCUUCAGCAAAAUUCAAUCAUUUGAUCUUUUUGAAGCUAAAUAAGCAAACAAAAACACAACAUAUGCUGAAAGUUUUAGACAAAAAUAUAUAAAUAAAGAAAAGAAGAAUGAAGACAUCAUACGACAUAUGAACAAUGAGCACUCAAGCAAUCCUAAAUUUCUUAGUCAAAUUAGAGGUUUCAAUGGCUAUAGGUGGUAUAUGACAUACAAAGGGAGACAGAACAUGAAUGAUGUAUCACCAUUAAGGAAAGUAAAAUCCAUCACUGGGUUGUAUGUGACCAAUAGCAAACUAGUACAGUAAUAGUUUGAAAAAAAACUAGUAUGACACAAUAACAAGCUAACAAAAUUAUUUUAAAUGAGAAUGCUAGGAGUGCCCUCAGAUUUCAGUGACUAGCACUAUGCCAAUAUCCAUAAAAGCCUCUCAACAUCCAUCACGGUGGGUGAACACAGCACCCCAGCCUCCACCAUCUCUAUCCACUGCCAGUUGUGAUGCCAAGAAUAAUAAUAAUAAUUAUAAUAAGAGUACUAAUAAUAACAAUAGCAAGUUGCAGUAACAGUGAAGAGGAUGGAAUAGGAGAAGGAGAAGAAGAAGAAGAAGACGAACAACACAACAACAGCAGCAGCUUACUUAAUGAUGGAAGUUGGAAGAGAGGAAAGGGCUGGAGAGGCUUUGCAUCAUGUCGAAAUAUUACAUCACUGGGCACAUCAAAAAGUGGUUAUGACAUCGGGUAAAAUGUUGGAAAAUUUUGUUACUUAAAAGAUGCACCAAAUGAUCUGGACAAAAUAUAGCUUUUAGGUUUUUAGAAGAACAAAUAAAUGAGACACGUGUAGUCGUGUAGAUAUACUCACCUAUAAACACCUAAUCAAACUGAAACUAUAGCUGAUGCAUCCGAAUUACUCAGUCCAAGUUUGAAAGUAUUGCUUAUUUAAGCAUCAACGCAACAUAAAUCACCAAUUCACAAAUGUGGUAUAAGCAUAUUAGAUAAACAAGCUAAUGUUAUGGAAUAUUGACGGUAUAAGCAUAAGGCCAUGGCAAAAAAAGAACUAAUAACUAUGCAAAUGAGCAGUUCCAAACAAGGAACAAAAUAAAGCAUCCAGCCAUGAUGAUCAGAUCAGAGUAAAGAAAAAUAAGAGUCAUAAGUGCAAUGCACAAUUUUCUGAUAAUCUGUUCUCGGGAGUCGGGAAGGCUCUUUAAAAGAAAAUGAUUUUGCACCCAAUUAAUUUUGGGGUGGUGGGGAGGUGAGAUGAAAAUAGAACACAACCCACCCUCGGAUCUCAUGGCCAAAAGCAAAUUCAUAUACAGCUUUUGCAGCAAGCUUUACCCACAUUCUUUGUGCACAAUUUACAACCAGCAGAGAGGAUCGUGAUGACGAUGCAGACAAAGAAGGUGGUUGUUCACAUCCAGUUAUAAACAAAGCCAUGAAACCAUUCAAUAAAAAAGUGAAUACACAGCCCUCAGGUUUAAUACUUAACUACAAAUAAACUACAGCUUUUUCCCACCAGUUUCAUUCACAGCCUUCACGCACCAUCUGGAAGAUACAUAAUAAUUCAUAUAUAUAUAUAUUUAUACACACGUGCGGCAUAUGAGCGCGCACACACACAACAGAGAAUGGGAUUAAGUGACUGAGUGAGAGAAAGAGAGAGUGGUGCAGGCUCCAGUUAUGAACAAAACCAUCAUGUGACCUUUCAGUAGUGUUUGUUCCAUCAUUGGGCAAUGUUUCAGUUUAGCCGUUAAAUUUAAAUUUUCUUGGUUUUGAUGCAUCAUCAAAGUUAAACACUAAUAAUUUAAGCCACUAAGAUAACCAAAGCAAUAUUUAACUCACAGCAUCAUAUCAAAACCAAAUAAACCGUGUCACGUAAAAUUCCAAGUAUAAGAGGGAAAAAAUGUAGAGUGCACACAGAUCUCAUGGCUUACAAAAUUUUAAUGAUCAUAGACAGCUACUAAGCCAGUGGUGUGCAGCAAAAGCCUACCAACAAGAUUCUGAUCGUUGUCAUCUUUGACAUCACCGUUUCAACUGCAACCACCACGGCCACCAACAUUUGAGUGUCUAUAUGUAUGCAUUAGAGAGAGAGGAGAGAUAGUGAGAGAAAGAGAGAUGAUGGAAGGCAAGUGUUGAACUGAAUACCACAGCAUAACUGUCUCGAUACAUUUUGUGUUAAACACUAAACAUCAUUGGGCAUAAACUUUCAGUUCCAAUAUUUGUUAUAAAUAUAGUAGCAAUUAUCAAGUGUAGUUUCUUCUCUAGUGAUUCUGGACGUUAUCAAUGAAUCUAUCGCUUGAUAAUAUUAUUACAAGGACAAGUAAUAAAUUAACUUUUGAUACAGUUACAGCUCAGAGAUUAAGCAUGUAUAAACAUAGAUGGGGAAGAUAAAACAAAGAUUCACAACAAUCAAUGUCUAAAAUAAUAAAUCAAAAUAAUAGCAAUUUUCACCAAAAUAAUAAUAAUAAUAAUAGUUGUUGUUGUUGUUGUUGUUGUUAUUAACAGUGGGUGACAAAGGCAGAAGGAAUGGCGUGGCUUUGAAUCCUGUUAAAUGCUCUAGUGAGCAAUAAGCAUCAUCAUUAUUAAAUUUUGAUGGUAUAGGAAUAUCACAUAUGGUCAUAGGCAAAAGCCUCUUGCAAUCACCAUCACUAGAGUCAAAAAUACUAUAAAAUAUGCAUCACACCAAAUCCAAAAAUGAAACAGAACAAUGCAUCAAGCAGAAACACCACUUACUUGUCAUCUGCUAUAAUGAAAAAUUAAGUUUACCAAUGCUCCUUGAAGGAAGAAGAUUUUGAACCCAGAGAUGCCCUCAGAUCUCAUAGCUAAAUGACAUUCAUCUACGGCUUUUGCAGCUAGCUUUAUUCACAUCCUUCGUGCACCAUUUACACAUCCACCCACAUAGACAGAAGCAGAGAGAAAGAGAGAGAGAGAGAGAGAGUGUGUGUGUGUGUGUGUGUGUGAGAGAGGGUAGAAGAUAGUCAUGAUGAUGAUGAUGAUGAUGAUGAUGAUGAUGAUAGAGGUGGCAGUGGAGAUACAUCCGGUUAUGAAUUAAGCUGUGCAGCCGCUCAUUAGUCAAUUUCCUCCAUCAUUGGGCAGGGUAGAGAAUUAUUAAUUAUAAUGCAUGUAGAAGCACCAAAACUUAUAGAAAAAAGAGCACCAAAAAUCAAAUCACGAAGAUACUUAGACAGUAAAAGGGUAUCCAGAGCCCUCAGGUUCAUAGUUAAUUAAAAUUCAUUAUUCAUCUACAACUAUUGCAGCGGUUUUGAUUCACAGCCUUCAAGCACCAUUGGAAGAGAUACAAUAUAUUUAUCUAUCUAUCAAUCUAUCAAUCUACGCACACACAGAGUAAACAAGUAACUGAGAGAGAGAAGGAGAGAAUUAUGCAGCUCGAGUUAUGAACAACACCAUGUAGACAUUCAAUAGUGGUUUUCUCCAUCAUCGGGCAAAAGUUUAAAACAAUUAAUUUGCUAUCGGUUACACUAUUUCAUCUCAGAGUUAAAGCACAAAUUUUCAGUCAUCAGUCAUCUAGUUCAAAAAAGUUUUACAUAAAAAAUUCACGGUAAAAUGAUAAUAAGUUUAAGCCACUAAGGUAAGUAAACGAAAAUUCAAGUACCCUAAAAAUCAUAAUAAGCCACAUAAACCACCUCAUAUAGUCAUUGAACUAUGCAGCAGGCAACCGCAAACAGAACCAAAGCAGCUCAGAAUUGUAUAUUUAUAUGGAUCAAAUAUUCAUGUAGAACAAAAAAAUUUCUAAGAAAAAUGUAUGAGUAAAAACUAGAGAGAAAAAUGCCCUCAGAUCUCAUAGUAUAUAUAAAUAAUCAAAGGCAGUUACUAAGCCAGUGAAGUUCAUCAAAAUCCUUCCACAAUAAGAGUUUUCAUCAUCGUCGUCAUCAUCAUCGUCGCAAGCACUAA